GUGCCAGCCGCCGCGGUAAAACGUAGGGCUCGAGCGUUAUCCGGAUUUACUGGGCGUAAAGGGCGGGCAGGCGGCCUGUUAAGUCGGACGUGAAAGCUCCCGGCUCAACCGGGAGAGGCCGUUCGAGACUGACGGGCUAGAGGGCAGCAGAGGGGCGUGGAAUUCCGGGUGGAGUGGUGAAAUGCGUAGAGAUCCGGAGGAACACCAGAGGCGAAGGCGGCGCCCUGGGCUGCACCUGACGCUGAGCCGCGAAAGCCAGGGGAGCGAACGGGAUUAGAAACCCCGGUAGUCCACGCCGUAAACGACGUCGACCAGGUGUUGGGGCGAAAGGCUUCAGCGCCGAAGCUAACGCGAUAAGUCGACCGCCUGGGGAGUACGGCCGCAAGGCUAAAACUCAAAUGAAUUGACGGGG
rnacentral:rRNA from 1 species